AAACUUCACUCGGAAGUGCUUCAGCGCCUCCUCUGUUUUCCCCGGUGCCAGGGAGUCCUUGAGAUACCGGAUGUCUUUGGAGCAGCUGAGCUCAGGCAGGCCUGCUGCCUGCAUCAGGGCAAAGAGGUGGAGGAAGAGAAGCCCGUGGCGCCGCAGGAUGGUGUUAGGCCCUUUCACAGUAGACCCGGAACCUUUCAAAUUUCUCAUAUUAUUAGUCUUCCCCUGCUCAAUCACGUGGACAAAGUCAUAGUGUGAAACUACAACUGUGUUUAUAAGGAGGAUGCCACUGGAAAUGAAUUCUGCUCAAAGAAUGAACUCUCUACACACAUCAUCUUUCUCUCACAGACAUCAUACCACCUCAAGCACUGCAGCCUCAAAAGGGGAAAUUCCUGAGUGAUUCUUCUUGAAGCUUAAAUUCUGUGGGAUUUUUAUGGUGGAAAACUUAGGAGAGGAACCAGACAGCCCAUCUAAGAGCUGAUACUCUUCUAGUGAAGACCACCCUUGCAGGAAAGCAUCUGUCCUCCCAGA
rnacentral:lncRNA from 1 species